rnacentral:rRNA from 1 species
GACGAACGCUGGCGGCGUGCCUAAUACAUGCAAGUCGAACGCACUCUCGUUUAGAUUGAAGGAGCUUGCUCCUGAUUGAUAAACAUUUGAGUGAGUGGCGGACGGGUGAGUAACACGUGGGUAACCUGCCCUAAAGUGGGGGAUAACAUUUGGAAACAGAUGCUAAUACCGCAUAAAACCUAACACCGCAUGGUGUAGGGUUGAAAGAUGGUUUCGGCUAUCACUUUAGGAUGGACCCGCGGUGCAUUAGUUAGUUGGUGAGGUAAAGGCUCACCAAGACCGUGAUGCAUAGCCGACCUGAGAGGGUAAUCGGCCACACUGGGACUGAGACACGGCCCAGACUCCUACGGGGGCAGCAGUAGGGAAUCUUCCACAAUGGACGAAAGUCUGAUGGAGCAACGCCGCGUGAGUGAAGAAGGUUUUCGGAUCGUAAACUCUGUUGUUGGAGAAGAUGUAUCUGAUAGUAACUGAUCAGGUAGUGACGGUAUCCGAACC